rnacentral:rRNA from 1 species
GAAGGUUUCCUGAUCAACGCUAAUCGGAUCAGGGUUAGUCGGGGCCUAAGGUGUACCCGAAGGGGGAAGCCGAUGGACAAUGGGUUAAUAUUCCCAUACUUUUUAUAACUGUGACGCGGUGACGGAGUAGUGACACUGUCGCGAUCUGACGGAAUAGAUCGUUAAAAGACGUAGGUAUAGGGCAUGUAGGUAAAUCCGCAAGCUUUGCUGAAAUCCAAUAGUACUGCAAACCUUCGGGGGCGUAGAUAGAACAGGUAAUCAAACUUCCAAGAAAACCCGCUAAACUUCAGGUUAUAAAAACCCGUACCGUAAACCGACACAGGUAGUCGAGGAGAGAAUCCUAAGGUGCUCGAGUGAAUCAUGGCUAAGGAACUCGGCAAAAUGGCCCUGUAACUUCGGGAGAAGGGGCGCUGUCAGCAAUGGCAGCCGCAGUGAAAAGGCCCAGGCGACUGUUUAACAAAAACACAUGGCUUUGCAAAAUCGAAAGAUGAGGUAUAAGGCCUGACACCUGCCCGGUGCUGGAAGGUUAAGAGGGGAUGUUAGUCGCAAGGCGAAGCAUUGAAUUGAAGCCCCAGUAAACGGCGGCCGUAACAAUAACGGUCCUAAGGUAGCGAAAUUCCUUGUCGGGUAAGUUCCGACCUGCACGAAUGGUGUAACGAUCUGGGCGCUGUCUCAGCCAUGAGCUCGGUGAAAUUGUGGUAUCGGUGAAGACGCCGGUUACCCGCAACGGGACGGAAAGACCCCAUGCACCUUCACUACAACUUAACAUUGAUAUUGGAUACAGGAUGUGUAGGAUAGGUGGGAGAUAGUGAAGCGGCCUCGCCAGGGGUCGUGGAAUCAACCUUGAAAUACCACCCUUUCUGUAUACGGUGUCUAACCCGUUUAAUACGGGGACAUUGUUUGGUGGGUAGUUUGACUGGGGUGGUCGCCUCCAAAAGAGUAACGGAGGCUUUCAAAGGUAAGCUCAGUACGCUUGGUAACCGUACGGGGAGUGCAAUAGCAUAACUUGCUUGACAGUGAGACAGACAAGUCGAUCUGGGUCGAAAGACGGAUAUAGUGAUCCGGCGGUUCUGCAUGGAAGGGCCGUCGCUCAAAGGGUAAAAGGUACGCUGGGAUAACAGGCUGAUCUCCCCCAAGAGCUCAUAUCGACGGGGAGGUUUGGCACCUCGAUGUCGGCUCGUCACAUCCUGGGGCUGGAGAAGGUCCCAAGGGUUCGGCUGUUCGCCGAUUAAAGUGGCACGCGAGCUGGGUUCAGAACGUCGCGAGACAGUUCGGUCCCUAUCUGUUGUGGGCGUUGGAAGUUUGAGUGGGGCUGUCCUUAGUACGAGAGGACCGGGAUGGACAAACCGCUAGUGAAUCUGUUAUGGCGCCAGCUGUACUGCAGAGUAGCUACGUUUGGAAUAGAUAAGCGCUGAAAGCAUCUAAGUGCGAAACUAGCCACAAGAUGAGACUUCCAUUGAGGGUCGUAGAAGAUGACUACGUUGAUAGGUUACAGGUGUAAAGGUGGUGACAUCAUAGCCGAGUAAUACUAAUUGCCC